CCCCAAUUUCUCCCCUACCCCGAUUCCCUUUAUCUUUCCCCCCAAUUUCCCCAAAUUGGCAGCCCUCUGCAUCUCCUCAAAGGGUACAGAUUCAUGGAGACCUUACAAGAGUUUUUCAACCAAAUCCAAACCCUAAACUGCGUCUCUCCCAAUUUCUUCUUCACUUUGAGGUUUUCUUGCAAGAGUUUAUAGAGAGGUGAGACCAAGUAAUUUUGGGUUACAACAGAGAAACCAAAGUAACGAAAAAGGUGGAUAUAGAUGGGAUCUUGGGUAACCGAGAUUCGAAGCUAGGCAAACCAAGCAUACCCAGGAGACGAAAAUGGGUUAAAAGAAGAGAAACAUGGCUGGUUAUACUUGGUGUCAUCCUCCAUGCCGUUUACAUGUUAAGCAUUUUCGACAUCUACUUCAAGACCCCCAUUGUUCAUGGCAUGGAUCUUGUCUCCCCUCGCUUCUCUCCUUCUGCUAAACGCCUUGUUCUUCUUGUUGUGGAUGGUUUACGUGCUGAUAAAUUUUUCGAGCCAGAUUUGGAAGGGAAUUUCAGAGCACCCUUUUUAAGAAAUGUGAUUAAGAAUCAAUCAAGGUCGCUGGGGAGUAUCUCAUGUUUGGCCUCCAACGGAGUCAAGGCCUGGACAUGUUGCUAUAAUUGCUCGAUUAUAAGGACUGGUAUGCCAAAUUUAUUCUGGAUUAUUUAGACGCCCACGUGGAAUGUAUUUCAGUGUAAAGGAUAAAGGAGAGAUGAUGUCUAUGAUAUAUAAUUGGCCUGCUCAAAAGGUAAGUUUGUGCAUGUUAUGAAUUAUUGCUUACUGCACAUUUUGAGUAUAUGUCUGUGAAUCAUUGCAAGAUGGCGGUAGCUAAUACCUAUAUAACAUUUUGAGUUUCCUUAACUCCUAACAGCUCUUUGAUAUUCGCUUGCAAAAUUUUAAAAACCAUGAAUGAUUUUGUGAAUUACAAAUUUUAAAAUUUUCUCUCUUAGAAAAAAAUAUUAAAAUUAAAAUAACUAAUAACUUAAACAUUCAGAAAAACAUGAUUUCUCUCUCUCUCAAGUAAUCACCUCUAGAUUAUGGAAUAAAAGUUAAGAAAGGAAACAAAAGUAAUUAAUGCUAAUUUCGAUAACACAUAUAAAGAAGUUAUUUACAUGCAAAAUAACAUUAAAAAGAAAAAACUCAUUGAGGCGGCACCACCACCGGAUGUUAUAGCUGCAUUUGAGAAGUACGCCGAAGGUGGGCCUCAAAUGACGGCGGAGCAGUUGCAUAGGUUCUUGGUGGAUGCGCAGGGGUAAGGCGGUGCGAAGGUCUCCGACGCGGAGGAGAUUCUGCUGCAGGGUCUGCAGAAACGACACCAUAUGGCGAAGUUCAGAAAACACGCACUGACCCUCGAUGAUUUCCAUCAUUACUUGUUUUCUGCAAAUCUAAAUCUACCAAUUGAUAAUAAGGCUUCUUUGGCGUUUACAAGCCUGGUCAUUGCAGCUAUUCCUACACUGUUUCAACAGAAAUUGUGAGAGCGAAGGAGGGGGAAAGAAGAUGAAAGCAAAAAGGGAACUUGGUGAUAGUGUAGACGGGGAACGGGACUUAAAAUGGCAGAGGGUUGUGGAUUCACCAUCUUCACCUCUUGAAGAGUCACUUGUGCCUUAUAAUGACGAUGAAGAUGAUGAAAGGAGAGCAUUGAAUCACAUAGGCAGCAGAGAAGAAUAUGGUCACAGAGUUGAAAGUGAAGAAGAAGAUGAUGAAGAUGAAGAUGAAGAUGAAGAUGAAGAUGAUCCAUAUCCCUGAAGUUGAUUACUGUACAUUAUGAACU